UACGUAGGGGGCAAGCGUUGUCCGGAAUUAUUGGGCGUAAAGCGCGUGUAGGCGGCCAGAUAAGUCCGCUGUGAAAUCUCGAGGCUCAACUUCGAGCUGUCGGUGGAAACUGUCUGGCUAGAGUCCGGAAGAGGAGAGUGGAAUUCCUGGUGUAGCGGUGAAAUGCGCAGAUAUCAGGAAGAACACCAAUGGCGAAGGCAGCUCUCUGGGACGGUACUGACGCUGAGACGCGAAAGCGUGGGGAGCGAACAGG
rnacentral:rRNA from 1 species